GGAACGAACGGCCCCGGCACGGAAUUCGGAUUUCAGAUAGACAUCCAGACACUUUUGUACGAUCCUGGGGCUGAGAUCUGAGGCCGGAAAGCACACAGCCACUGGCCUUGAAGAAGUCCUGCCUGUUGGGCGAAAAGUAAAAGGUUGAGUCUUGUGUGAGAAGCAAUUAUUCAGAGUUCAGAGUGGCAGAGAUGCCCGUGGGGGUCAGAGUCCCAGCGCCUCGGCGUGCUUUCUUGCCUUGAGUCGGAGGUCAGCGAUGCUUGAAUUCUUGCUGUUGCUCUUGGCAGCUGCCGCCACGGCCGCCGCGGCCGAAGCCGAGUCCGCCAGUGACGCGAUUGGUAGUCCAAAGGGUGGGGGUGGGAACAUCAGGAUCAAGACUGCGUAUGGCACAGCAUCAUACAAUGGGCAGAUAUUGCAGGCACAUCGAAAAAAAGCCUUAACUCUGAAGUGUGCAAAAUAAAGUCAAGACAUUAUGAGAGAGACUUUUCUGAUGCACUCCAAACACGCACGUCAAGGCUAAUGACGGGUCCUACAUCCAAGACCCAACCUGAACAAUUCAGGCCCUGACUACGGCAUGGUGGAGACUCUCCUUUGAGGUGCAGUAGGCAGGAGAUCGUAGUUCUGGUUCCCAUAAUGAGGGGGUGCAGUAUUCAGCCUGCGGAGACCAGACAGCAUCUGUCCAGCUAAUAAGGAAAUGGCUCCUUUUUCUGUAUUUUUUCCUAUUUUAUAGCACCACAAAUGCCUCAGCACAAAUCAGUGAAGCACUUUAAGAAAUAAGGACAGCACCUGCAUAUAUUCCCAGAUUGUAUAAAUAAUGACCUACUCUAAUGGCUGAGCUAGGAAUUCCUGCUGCUUUUAGCCAGUCCAGAUCUCUCAGCAGUUUCGAUCCUUUUCUCCUACCUGCACCAAACCGCUGGAUUUGGUGAGUGUAUUUAAAUUUUCAUGUUUGCUAAAUACAAGUGAAAAAACUCAAAGCAUUCUUUGACACACCUCACAAAGAGGAGAUGAUUUUAGGGCUGUUUGUUGGGUUUAUAGCUCAGGAAUGACUGUGGUUCCCCUAACCCCCAUUUCACUAUAGAAUCCCCACACCCUUCUUCAGUCAUUUCCAUAACUGCUCCUGGCUGUCUGGCUACUGCUAUUUUAAAUGCACUUGAGCUAAAUGCCCUGUCACAUAAUUUGAGUUUUUCUCCAAAUUGUCCUACGUUUACCUAAAGGCCAUGUUUGAAAACAAAUGCCCAUUACGAUGGAGUCCACCUCAGCGUGCAGAACUUUAUGUCCUGGGCUGAGGUCAUUGACAGCUUGAUGUGAGAGAGGUCAAUUGAAAUAACAGGUCUGGGCAUUAGUAUAAAUGCAUUGCUGUAUUUCACUUUGGAAGGGGAAGCCAGGAACACUGAGUCUGGUGCGAGGCAAAGGCCGACACUGCCUGCGUUCAGUAAUGAGAACGGCGGGCUGCACGCUGCUAAAAUCUGUAAUUAUAAUUACGACUUCUCGCCUUAUUCCCUCUACUGAAUAUUGUAUAUUGUCAUUCAGGUGGUUAGUUACUAAGGUCUUUAUGGUGAAUAUUUUACUUAAAAUUCCCAGUAUAGGAAAGUUAAUGAUUAGUAACACCCUGUCAGUGGUUGCGCAGUAACCGGGAUGAGUAGAGUGCUCUCAGCCAAAGAUUUAAGUUAGAAGUAUUUGUUAAUGUAUGUCUUAGUUGUGCUAUAUGAUGGCACUGUAUGAAUUUAUAAAGAAAGAUGAAUUGAAAUUUCUGUGUUAUAUUAUAAUCUAUCGUUUCCCCUUGAGCAGAUCCUUAUACUUUCAGGGGACCAUUGCUGCUUUUUUCAAGCCAGAGUUUGAUCACAGAGCAGCGUGAGUCUGAAAUGUGUGAUGAGUGACAGAGAACAUCUGGAAAAUCCAGAAGUGACCAUGUUGCAGACUUUCAUGCAAGCCUUUGAUAAACAGAGUUUUUUGUUCUCUUAGAAAACAGGGAUUAGGUGAAUCACAUCAGAUGAAUUCUACAUAGAGGGUUUUGAUUUAUUUCCCUGCAGUCUUUCAAACCUUUUCUCGCCCACCAAUAGGUGAUGCUGAGGGCCACUGACAGUCAUUAGUUCUCCCUUGUGUUUGUUCAUACACACCUAAUAUAAUCUGUGGCGCAUUGAGGUUGAGCUCAGUUUUAAUUUUUUAUGUCUCUAAAAAAGAACAUGCCAUAGGUUUAUGAAGGGGAAUUGGACAUUAUACCCACAUCACAUUCCAGUGAUACUUGCGUGUUAUCCAAGCAAACGUCAGAUACUUCUUUGAUUCGCAAUGUUCUAUCACUCUGGUGUAAUCAUAUCUGUUUUGGCAUUAUUUUUUGAUAACUGCUGUAUGAAGUUUGUAUGUUUAUUACAACCAUACAUCUAUAUGUAAUAAUAAUUUGCUAUUUAAA